AAUAUGGCCAUGUAAAUCUUCAAGAUCUCUUAAUGUUUUAUGCACACUAACUCAUCUUAUUCUCAUACUGUUUUACAGAUGAGGAAAUGAGUCACAGUGAAACCAGAUGACUUUCCUAGAUCACAAAGCUAGUAAGAAGUGAACCAAAGACUUCAAUCUGAGUAGCUUUGUUUGGAGUCCUGUGGACAUUAUUGGAACUUCUGGCGACAUGUGAUAAACAACAAUAAAUAAAACUACAUAUUACAUACAAGAGAGUAUGGGAAACUUGUCAAAGUGAUAUAAGAAUCCAAAGAGAAAAAAUAUAACACUGGCUUGGAAAUGGAAUGACAACAUAUUAGUCUGGGGCAGUAUUUUUAACAAGUGCUUUUUCCCAGGAGUUACCCUGAGCUCAUGAGGGAAUAUCUCGAUUGUGGAAUUUCAAACUGAAUAGAUAUUACACUUAUGGAUGCUAUACAAUAUCAACUAUUCACCAGAGAGACUGAUGAUUAAAAAAUCUUCCAAGGAUAUCUAUGUACAGUUAGCAUCCAUCUCCUCAUUUGAUAUAAUAGAAAAAGAAAGAAAGAAAGAAAGAAAGAAAGAAAGAGAAGAAAGAGAGAGAGAAAGAAGAAAGAAGAAAGAAAGAAAGAAAGAAAGAAAGAAAGAAAGAAAGAAAGAAAGAAAAGAAAGAAAGAAAAGAGAGAAAGAAGAAAGAAAGAAAGAAAGAAAGAAAGAAAGAAAGAAAGAAAGAAAGAAGAAAGAAAGAAAGAGAAAGAAAGAAAGAAAGAAAGAAGAAAGAAAGAAAGAAAGAAGAAAGAAAGAAAGAAAGAAAGAAGAAAGAAAGAAAGAAAGAAAGAAAGAAAGAAAGAAAGAAAGAAAGAAAGAAAGAAAGAAAGAAAGAAAAAAGAAGGGAAAAAAGUAUUCUUGUGAUAAUUCUUAGGAUUUACUCUUACAGCUUUCCUAUGUAUCAUACAGCAGUGUUAACUAUAGUCAUCAUGACUUUUGACUGUCUUCCUCUAAUUACCUCUUUCCCCUGCCUUUGUACAGUUAUGAUUUUGAUAUCUUUUUCUGUGAGUUUGGUUUAGAUUUGAGAUCAUAUGGUAUUUGUCUUAUUUGUCUUUCUCUCUCUGACUUAUUUCACUUAGCACAAUGCCUUUACAAUCCAUGAUUAUUGUUGCAAAUGUUAGAAUUUCCUCAUUUUUUAUGGUUGAAAAAUAUCCCAUUGUAUAUAUGUGCCACAAAUUUUUAUCCUUUCAUGUACAGAUGGACACUUACAUUGUUUCCGUGUCUUGGCUAUUGUAAAUAAUGCUGCUAUGAACAUGGGAGUGCAAAUAUCUUUUGGAGUCAGUGUUAUCAUUGCCUUUGGAUAUAUCUCCAGAAGUAGAAUUUCUAAAUCAUACUGUAGUUCUAUUUUUAUUUUUUGAAAAUUUUCCAUAUUGUUUUCUGAUGUAGCUGUGCCCAUUUACAGUCCCACUAACAGUGCACAGAGCUUCCUUUUCUUCAUAUCAAUGCCAGUAUUUAUUAUCCCUUGUCUUUUUAUUAUGCCAGUUCUAAUAAGAAUGAGGUAAUAUCUUGUGGUUUUAAUUUGCAUUUCCCUAAUGACUAGUGAUGUUGAGCAUCUUUUAAUGUGCCUCAUGGCCUCUUAUAUAUCUUCUUUAGAGCAAUGUCUAUUCAGGAACUUUGUCCACUUUUUAAUUGGAUUAUUUGUCUUUUUUUCUAUUGAGUUGGAGGAGUUCUUUAUAUGUCUUGGAUGUUAACCCUUUGCCAGAUAUAUGGUUUGCAAACACUUUCCCAUUCCAUAGUUUGUCUUUCACGUUGUUGAUGGUUUCUUUUGCUGUGCAAAAGCAUUUUAGUUUGAUGUAUUCCCACAUGUUUUUUUGUUUGUUUGUUUGUUUUGUUUUUUAUUUUGUUGCUUGUGCUUUUGGUGUCAUAUUCAAUAAACUUUGCUUCUCUGUUUUCUUUUAGGUGUUU
rnacentral:lncRNA from 12 species